AAGUGAAACCACUAGCUGCCUCUCUCUUGGAUGCCUUGGACUAUGACAGUUCAGAUGAUAGUGACUUUGAAGUGGAGGACGCAUCAGGAAGAAACCGCAAGCAGAAUCAGACUCAGGAUAGGCAGGCCUCGAGUGACAGGAUUGUGAGAUCUGAAAUCAGACGGACAAACGCCUGUGCUGUUGUAUUACCAAAAUGUUUGUUUUUUUUUUGUUUUCUUUAUUAUCUUUAUAAUACUCGUUGCCUGUUGUGUUUGAAGAUGUGUCUAUAUGAAUGGUUGAUUGCUUCUUGGUUGCUUGUGGAUUGAUUUUUUGGAGAAGGGUUACACUAUAUGAGAUUAUUUUUUCUUCAAACUGCUCCUUUACAUUCAAAACUUUAGUUUUAGCUGUUGACACAUGACAUGUUCAUUUUAAACUGUAAUUGAAAAAAUAAGGCAUAAACAAACAAAAAAACCCAAAAACAAGUAAAGAAUUAAGACAAGUCAGUAAAUAUGAAAACUUACCAUUAUCAUUUAUUAUCGCAUUAAAAGCAUAGAGGCUCUUCCAGCAGUAUGGGCCCAUGGCAGGAUAACAAAAUGUUGCAAAUGUCAUAAUUACAAAGUACACUAUACUGAAUACAUUUGUAAUUUUAAAUAAAAAAAAUCCCUCUUUCAGAUUACAGUUUCCAACCUCAUCUUGUAGGAUACAGUCUAAUCCUUCUCCAGAUCCACAGAACACAUGCAGACCAAAGAAGCAACCUCUGACCUCUGUCAUACAGCCUGCUAUCAUACAAUACAUUCCUGCACAUAAGUGUGUUUUUCAAUUGUCUUUUGUAUUUACAUAAAACCAGUUUUUUAGUCAAUGAUGAUUGAAAGAGAUUAAGUUGAAUGUCUAAAACAAAGAUUUGUGAUUUACAAUCUGACUUUUUGAAAUAUGUACAUUUUAAUUCCAUUAAAAUUAGACUAUUCUAAG